rnacentral:rRNA from 1 species
AGUGAACGCUGGCGGUAGGCCUAACACAUGCAAGUCGAACGGCAGCACAGUAAGAGCUUGCUCUUACGGGUGGCGAGUGGCGGACGGGUGAGGAAUACAUCGGAAUCUACUUUUUCGUGGGGGAUAACGUAGGGAAACUUACGCUAAUACCGCAUACGACCUACGGGUGAAAGCAGUGGAUCUUCGGACCUUGCGCGAUUGAAUGAGCCGAUGUCGGAUUAGCUAGUUGGCGGGGUAAAGGCCCACCAAGGCGACGAUCCGUAGCUGGUCUGAGAGGAUGAUCAGCCACACUGGAACUUAGCCACGGUCCAGACUCCUACGGGAGGCAGCAGUGGGGAAUAUUGGACAAUGGGCGCAAGCCUGAUACAGCCAUACCGCGUGGGUGAAGAAGGCCUUCGGGUUGUAAAGCCCUUUUGUUGGGAAAGAAAAGCAGCAGGUUAAUACCCCGCUGUUCUGACGGUACCCAAAGAAUAAGCACCGGCUAACUUCGUG